ACCCCCACCCUCUAUAUAAGUGCAUCCAUCACUCUUCACUACAAACACACAAUCUUGAUCAAUCAAUACAUCUCUCUUCCUCACAAAAAUUCGGAUCAAAUUAAAACCAUGGCGGUAAACCAUAAUCGUAGCUGUUCCUCGUUCUUAAUCUUGCUCUUAAUCGUCGCCUUUUCAUCGAUCAUCGAGGCCCGCGACCUCCUCGAAUCCCCGAUUCCCCUACCGGAGAUCCCAGUGUUGCCAAAGCCCGAGAUUCCAACCAUACCAAAGCCUAUUAUCCCAGAAUUGCCAAAGCCCGUCAUUCCAGAAUUGCCAAAGCCCGAGAUUCCAACUUUGCCAAAACCUGUUAUCCCAGAACUUGCCAAAGCCCGAGAUUCCAACUACACCAAAGCCCGUUACCCCGGAAUUGCCAAAGCCCGAGAUUCCAACUCUGCCAAAGCCCGUCAUCCCAGAAUUGCCAAAGCCCGAGAUUCCAACUUUGCCAAAACCUGUUAUUCCAGAAAUGCCAAAGCUCGAGAUUCCAACUCUACCAAAACCCGAGAUUCCGGUCGUGCCAAAGACAGAGAUGCCAGAAUUGCCCAAGUCCGAGCUUCCGAAGAUUCCCACGUUGCCCGAAAUGCCGAAAUCACCUUGAUUUGCAUGCUAGAAACAAGUUAUUUCGAAUUUGAUGAUGAUUAAUUAUGUUGUUGUGGUGUUUAUUUGUAUCAUGUUUUGUUUGUCGUGAUAUAGAGUAGGGUUUGUUUUCAUUUAUCACAUAUAUAUUAUACGUGAGAGUAUAUUGUAAUUCCAUUUCUACGUACGAUUUGUAUUAAAUUUUGAUUUCGCCUUUAUAUGUUACUACUUGCUUUCAUUACGUUG
rnacentral:lncRNA from 1 species